GACGUAGGUGGCGAACGUUAUCCGGAAUCAUUGGGCGUAAAGGGUGCGUAGAUGGCAUGAUAAGUUAUUAGUGGGAAAUCGAGGCUCAACCUCGUGGAAGCUAGUAAUACUGUUUUGCUUGAGUACAGAAGAGGUUAAUGGAACUCCAUGUGGAGCGGUAAAAAUGCGUAGAUAUAUGGAAGAACACCAAUAACGGCGAAGGCAGUUAACUAUUCUGUUACUGACAUUGAGGCACGAAAGCGUGGGGAGCAAAACGG
rnacentral:rRNA from 1 species